AGCUCUCCAUUCAAUUUAUAUGCUAUGAAGAGUAGUGUUCGCGCUGCGCUGUUACUGAUCAGCGCUGCGCUGGGGAGAUCAGCUCGGUGGCGCUGGUGAACACGUCCUCUCUGCGCUGUCGAGUCGGUCGCGGAGCUCGGUCCAUUGAGCCGCGCCUGUGACCGGUCAGCGCUGCGCGAACACUUUAAUACCGCACUGUUUAUCCUACAUUAGGUGUGUUUGGCUAGCCAUGAGCGCAAAUGAAAGACAAUUUCAUGGGAAUGUGUAACCUGUCAUAGCCUAUAAAUUGAAUUUAAAGCUUGUGGAGCUCACACAUUUUGCCUUGGACGAUCAUUCAUCUCAUCUUCUGUGGUGUUUCAGCCGUUUGCUCCGAUGCCUGAAGAAACUACAUCCGUGACCAUCGUUAUGUACAGCUGCAGGAGGAGCUCAGACUCGCCGACUACGACAGCGCAGAAUGCAAACUUCUGGCAGCCGAUGUUGCAACGUGUUUGGCAGUUCCUGUGGGAGCGCAUCAUACCCAGAUUCAUCUGAGGAACAACGACGUCGCUACCAGACUUCGACCGACAAUGCUACAGCUCCGAUACCGAAGAAACCCCGAGCCAACGACACUCUGCGGACUCGAGUCACUUCGGACAUGCUGAUGGCGCAUAUUUCACCCGCCUAUCGACUAUUCUCCAAACACCGAGAUGCCUUUCCCAGUUCUCCAGAUGGACUUUCUCUGAGGCAUCUAAUCUUCGAUUUCUUCAUACAUUUUCAACAUAAUUAGUUCAACAUUCACUAUUGUGUGGUAUUUUCCCGCUCAUUAUGUAUUUUCACCCGAUUCGAACGUUAUCACUCGAUUGAAUGGGGCGUUAUCAGCGGUUAUCAGCCCAUAGAAAUGGGCCAGGAGGGGCCUCCUGCGCCUACUAGUAGGCUCAGAAGGCCGUGAUCAUCCAUCCAAAUGGUUGAUCACCAACAAAUAUACAAGAGAAGACUCCAGAUCCAAUCCCAGAAUUCCUGCUCACCUGUAAUCGGAAGUCUACUGGACGAAUGCGGGAACGUUGCGAUAUUUCCUGCUUAAUAUUUUCAGAUAUGGGAAAAGCACUUAAGAUGACCCCACGUUUCAGGAACGUUAAAAUUAAGUUGGUGAGGAGGUCUAUGGUGGGCCCUGCAAGUUUUCUUACCUCAGUCAAGGUCUUCCCCAGCCCAGCUACAAUCAGACCCACCCUUCAGACCCUUCUAUUACAUCUCAACCUGCUGAACCUGAUGAUGCGACACCAAGCUGUUCUGAGAGCGCAUACAGUAAGGCAAAGAAGAGAGAGCUUCAUGCCUGGGAUGCAGUCAAGGAUGAGAUGCUUAAGGUGACGUUUGAAUGUUCAGCAUCAGUCACUACCCAGUGUGCUGUCUGCCGAGAACAUGCUGAUUAUAGGUGCAUUGAGUGCAGCUCCACUGCAGUGUUCUGUGAGGUUUGCCUGAAGAGGAUUCACAGAAAUUUACUGCAUCUUCCUGAAAAGUGGAAUAAUGUUUACUAUGAGCCAUCCUCCCUGGGGUUAUUCUUAUAUUUACCUGAAGCCCAUGGCACCCAUGCUGUGAACACAAAGGACAUGAAGAUCAUUGUCAGCACAGGACGGCUCUGCACCGUUACAGUCAACAUGUGUGCGUGUGAACCAGAAACCUGUACUCUGCUGAGAUAUGGGCUCUGACCAGACAGCCUUCUCCAUCCCUCUGCUAGAGCUUUCUGUUUCUCUGUCACUGGAGUGUCAGGUUUCUGUUGAGGGGUUUUUUGCAACACCCCAUAUCCCAUUUUAGGCAUCACCACUUCCGACAAAGAAGUUUGGUUGAUAUUUGCACAAUUAAAUGAUGGAACCAUAUGCCCAGCAUGUCCAAAGGUUGGUUAUAAUUCCAGCGUGGUUCUUGUUUGAUUAAAUUAAUGGCAUAGAAAUAAAAUCUGAAUUAAUAUCAAACUUAAAAGUUAAUUUGUGUAUGUAGUAUUGUAAUAGAAUAGUAAUAGUAUAAAUGUAUAAACCUGGUGCGGGUACAAAACCAGUGUUACUGUAAGUGUUUGUUUUCCAGGCGGAUGGAGAUAUGAUUGUCAUAUUGGAUGCCAACUUUGGCCUUGUGAGGAAGUAAAGCCGCAGUACAAGUGUGGUUGAUCCAUUACACAGAACCCACGUGUUUGUUGAUGAAAAGGAUGUAGAGGAAUACCUGCUAUCACAUCUUGACAGCUCAAAGCCUCGAGGUUAAUCAUUGUUGCAGAAUUUCAUUCGAGUCCAUGAAAUAUUAAUUAAACUUGUGAAAAAAGAUCCCUAUUCCUCUCAUAAAUCUAUGUUUUCCUUAAAUCUUUAGGACUGCAGUAAGCUGCUCUCAUUCAAGGUAUUAUAAUAUAAUAUAAUAUAAUUACUUUACUGCAUAACUUGUGCAGACAUGUUGUUUUACUAGGUCUGAUCUAUUUUAAAGCUUAGGCCCUGUAUUUAAGCAUACAUAUCCCCACUAGUCUGUCUGUAUGAGUACAAAAUUAAAAAAUAAACUCUCUAUAAGUGUAACUGUACAAGCAGAGUAAAAUAUUUAUAUAAAAAAUAUUGCACUACUGUUAUUUUGCAUAGAAUACAUUGUUCAACAAUAUUUUUGCACACUCAUCCAACUGUAUUUAUUACCACUGUUCUCACGUUCCUGCUGUUCAUAACAUAUAUAUAAUCCUUCAUUGCUCUGUUCAUAAUGUACAUACAAUCCCUACAUUGCAUUCAUAUUUAUAUUCUGUAUAUACUCUGAUCAAUAUUGUAUAUAGCAACUCCACUGUACAUUCUGUAUAUCAUAGCUUUACUUACUCAGCACUUUUAUGUAUAUAAAACACUAUAUUCUUGCACUUCUGGUUAGAUGCUAACUGCAUUUCAUUAGCUCUGUACUUGUACUCUGCAUAAUGACAAUAAAGUUGAAUCUAAUCUAAUCUAAAAAAAAAAAUUGUGUUUACCAUAAUGUAAUAUGUUAUUUACUGUAAUGUACAAAUGUGUGGGAGGUGUUUUGUUUUUUGUGAGCUCACCAUCAAAAUCCCCUUCGACUGAGUUGAAAUGAAAAUAAAUUAUUGGAUCUUGAAUCCUCUGAAGCAA